rnacentral:SRP_RNA from 1 species
GCCGUAUGCGGUGGUGCGCGCCUGUAGUCCCAGCUACUCGGGAGGCUGAGGCUGGAGGAUAGCUUGAGCCCAGGAGUUCUGGGCUGCAGUGCACUUUGGAGAUAGGGUGUCCGCACUAAGUUUGGCAGCAAUACGGUGACCCUCUGGGAGCAGAGGACCACCAGGUUGGCAAAGGAGGAGUGAACCGGCCCAGAUCAGAAACGGAGCAGGUCAAAACUCCCGUGCUGAUAAGGAAGAAAGAAAAGAAAGACUAGGACCAAAGACUCUUUCAGAGACAAUGGCUAGAAACUAGAUUACUGUUAU